AGUGAACGCUGGCGGUAGGCCUAACACUUGCAAGUUGAACGGCAGCACAGUAAGAGCUUGCUCUUACGGGUGGCGAGUGGCGGACGGGUGAGGAAUACAUCGGAAUCUACUUUUUCGUGGGGGAUAACGUAGGGAAACUUACGCUAAUACCGCAUACGACCUACGGGUGAAAGCAGGGGAUCUUCGGACCUUGCGCGAUUGAAUGAGCCGAUGUCGGAUUAGCUAGUUGGCGGGGUAAAGGCCCACCAAGGCGACGAUCCGUAGCUGGUCUGAGAGGAUGAUCAGCCACACUGGAACUGAGACACGGUCCAGACUCCUACGGGAGGCAGCAGUGGGGAAUAUUGGACAAUGGGCGCAAGCCUGAUCCAGCCAUACCGCGUGAGUGAAGAAGGCCUUCGGGUUGUAAAGCCCUUUUGUUGGGAAAGAAAAGCAGCAGGUUAAUACCCCGCUGUUCUGACGGUACCCAAAGAAUAAGCACCGGCUAACUUCGUG
rnacentral:rRNA from 1 species